rnacentral:sRNA from 1 species
GGGUGUGGUGGUGCACAUCUGUAACCCCAGUGGCUCGGGAGGCUGAGGCAGGAGGAUUGAAAGUUCAGCAAAAAAGAGGCGCUGAGCAACUCAGUGAGACCCUGUCUCUA